rnacentral:rRNA from 1 species
UACGUAGGGUGCAAGCGUUGUCCGGAAUUAUUGGGCGUAAAGAGCUCGUAGGCGGUUUGUCGCGUCUGCUGUGAAAACCCGAGGCUCAACCUCGGGCCUGCAGUGGGUACGGGCAGACUAGAGUGUGGUAGGGGAGACUGGAAUUCCUGGUGUAGCGGUGAAAUGCGUAGAUAUCAGGAGGAACACCGGUGGUGUAAACGGCUCUCUGGACCGUAACUGGACGCUGAAGACGACGAAAGCGUCGGGUAGCAAACAGG